rnacentral:rRNA from 1 species
CCGAGAAUCUUCCGCAAUGGGCGAAAGCCUGACGGAGCGACACCGCGUGUAGGAUGAAGGUCUUCGGAUUGUAAACUACUGUCACUUGGGAAGAGAUUUGCUGCAACUAAUAAUUGUUGCAAUUGACUGUACCAAGAGAGGAAGCCACGGCUAACUCUGUGCCAGCAGCCGCGGUAAUACAGAGGUGGCGAGCGUUGUUCGGAUUGAUUGGGUGUAAAGGGUGCGUAGGCGGUUUGGAAAGUUGGAUGUGAAAUCCUAUGGCUUAACCAUAGAACUGCAUUCAAAACUUCUAAACUAGAGUGCGAGAGAGGUGAAGGGAAUUCCCGGUGUAAGGGUGAAAUCUGUAGAGAUCGGGAGGAACACCAGUAGCGAAGGCGCUUCACUGGCUCGUAACUGACGCUGAGUGCACGAAAGCGUGGGGAGCAAACG